rnacentral:rRNA from 1 species
CUCCUCUUUCUAAUCAGUGAAACUGAUCUUCCCGUGAAGAAGCGGGAAUAAACUUAUAAGACGAGAAGACCCCAUGGAGCUUUAAGCUGGCUUCACAUCUAUUUUACAUAUCCUCUAAUUAAACAAAGCACUGCUUGCUCAGCUUUAGGUUGGGGUGACCGCGGAAUAUAAUAUAACUUCCACGAUGUAUAACAUUUUCUUAUCUAAGAACCACUAUUCUAAGAAUUAGUAUUCUAACAUACAAUGAUCCGAUAAUCGAUCAACGGACUAAGUUACCCUGGGGAUAACAGCGCAAUCCAUUUCAAGAGCCCCUAUCGACAAAUG